GUGCCAGCCGCCGCGGUAAUACGGAGGGUGCGAGCGUUGUCCGGAAUCACUGGGCGUAAAGGGCGCGUAGGCGGCGCGGUAAGCACGCGGUGAAAGCCCGGGGCUCAACCCCGGGUCGGCCGUGUGGACUGCCGCGCUGGAGCACUGUAGAGGCGGGUGGAAUUCCGGGUGUAGCGGUGGAAUGCGUAGAGAUCCGGAAGAACACCGGUGGCGAAGGCGGCCCGCUGGGCAGUGGCUGACGCUGAGGCGCGACAGCGUGGGGAGCAAACAGGAUUAGAAACCCGGGUAGUCC
rnacentral:rRNA from 1 species